AAAAGUCACGCGAGCCAAUUGCCCCCAAACCCGCCAAAGAGCUCUUAUGCGGGGAAACUUCUCCAUCAAGUUCAUCAGAAGGGAAACCCAUGGAUGGGGAUUGGCACGGCCUGUGCAAUGGCAAUGGCAAUGGCAAUGGUACUGGCUGUGGCAUGGCAGCUACUCCUACGCCAAGAAAACUCCCAACCGCUCAUUUGACCUGCGGAAAUUUUGGGAUCGGGGAUUCUGGCAUUUGUGAUGGUAAAGAUGGAGCAGAAGGAGAUUAGGUUAGAGAGUGAGACCAGCUUGACUCAGAAUAUCCAAUCAAAGUGGAUUUUUGUGCAACCAACUCUAGCUUUGGAAAUACAUAGAUGGAUUUAAAGAGUAAAAUGUAAUCGAAUGAAUUAUUGAUGCCCUCGUUGCAGCUCGGGGAGGUGAAGUCGGAGAGGAUGACUAGUGUUGGAGUUGGAGGAUCUGUCAGAGCAGCCGUUGAAGUAAGUAGUGGUGAAGACGGAGUUGCUUCUGGGGAAAAUCUGCAGGACUGGACAAAGUUGCAAGAGUGUUGAUCUCGUCCUUUAUAGUUUAUUCCCAUGCUGCAGGGCCCAAUUUGGCUCGAUAUCUUCGAGCACAUGGUGGUUCAACGAGUACUCAAACUCUGGAAAKAUUCAAUCAGCAACUUUCAAGGCACUUCUGMACUGCAACCAGAGGCUCAGAUCACAAAAAUAGUCAUUAUUCAUAGGGAACAUGGAAAUUUGCAUAAAGAUAUUAUGAAGAAUCUACAAAGCAACCAAGACAGUGGAGCUUCGCACCCGGUCGAGGCGUUCGCUUCUAUGCCUACGAUGUUGAGAUUGAAGUAACGUGUCAAAUCUUUUGAUAGAUGGUACAUUUUAAAAAGUCUUAACAGUCACAAUCUUUUUCGCUAUCAAUAGGUUCUUCCUAUCUUGCUGUAGUUUUGUUUGUUUCCUGGGAAAACUUUCACAUCAUAUGAUAAAAACUUCCAUAUUUGCAUGGUCUAU